UACGUAGGGUGCAAGCGUUGUCCGGAAUUAUUGGGCGUAAAGAGCUCGUAGGCGGUUUGUCGCGUCGGCUGUGAAAACUCGGGGCUCAACCCCGAGCCUGCAGUCGAUACGGCAAACUAGAGUGUGGUAGGGGAGACUGGAAUUCCUGGUGUAGCGGUGAAAUGCGCAGAUAUCAGGAGGAACACCGGCGGCGAAGGCGGGUCUCUGGGCCAUAACUGACGCUGAGGAGCGAAAGCGUGGGGAGCGAACAGG
rnacentral:rRNA from 1 species